AGAGUUUGAUCCUGGCUCAGAACGAACGCUGGCGGCAUGCCUAACACAUGCAAGUCGAACGUGAAGCCAUCCUUCGGGGUGGUGGAAAGUGGCGCACGGGUGAGUAACGCGUGGGAACAUACCCAGCUGUACGGAAUAACCAUGGGAAACUAUGGCUAAUACCGUAUACACCCCUUCGGGGGGAAAGAUUUAUCGCAGUUGGAGUGGCCCGCGUAGGAUUAGGUAGUUGGUGGGGUAAAGGCCUACCAAGCCUACGAUCCUUAGCUGGUUUGAGAGGAUGAUCAGCCACACUGGGACUGAGACACGGCCCAGACUCCUACGGGAGGCAGCAGUGGGGAAUAUUGGACAAUGGGCGAAAGCCUGAUCCAGCAAUGCCGCGUGAGUGAAGAAGGCCUUAGGGUUGUAAAGCUCUUUCACCGGGGAAGAUUAUGACGGUACCCGGAGAAGAAGCCCCGGCUAACUCCGUGCCAGCAGCCGCGGUAAUACGGAGGGGGCUAGCGUUGUUCGGAAUUACUGGGCGUAAAGCGCGCGUAGGCGGCCUGUCAAGUUGGGUGUGAAAGCCCGGGGCUCAACCCCGGAAUUGCAUUCAAAACUGACAAGCUAGAGACCGAGAGAGGUGAGUGGAAUUUCCAGUGUAGAGGUGAAAUUC
rnacentral:rRNA from 1 species